GUGCUUACGUCAGCAGCGCAUAUCCUAAAAUUGGAACAGUGCGGAGACUGUCUCUUAUACACAUCUAGAUGUGUAUAAUAGAACAGUGCGGAGAUUUGCGUGGCCCCUUGGCAAGGAUGACUUGCAAAUCUGUGAAGCGUUCCAUAUUUUU
rnacentral:snRNA from 1 species